GGAAAUUUGAGAGGAGCUGUCCUUAGUACGAGAGGACCGGGAUGGACAUACCUCUGGUGUACCAGUUGUCGUGCCAACGGCAUAGCUGGGUAGCUAUGUAUGGACGGGAUAAGUGCUGAAAGCAUCUAAGCAUGAAGCCCCCCUCAAGAUGAGAUUUCCCAACUUCGGUUAUAAGAUCCCUAGAAGAUGACGAGGUUAAUAGGUUCGAGGUGGAAGCGUGGUGACACGUGGAGCUGACGAAUACUAAUCGAUCGAAGACUUAAUCAA
rnacentral:rRNA from 1 species